GAUGAACGCUGGCGGCGUGCCUAAUACAUGCAAGUCGAGCGAACAGACGAGGAGCUUGCUCCUCUGACGUUUGCGGCGGACGUGUGAGUAACACGUGGAUAACCUACCUAUAAGACUGGGAUAACUUCGGGAAACCGGAGCUAAUACCGGAUAAUAUAUUGAACCGCAUGGUUCAAUAGUGAAAGACGGUUUUGCUGUCACUUAUAGAUGGAUCCGCGCCGCAUUAGCUAGUUGGUAAGGUAACGGCUUACCAAGGCAACGAUGCGUAGCCGACCUGAGAGGGUGAUCGGCCACACUGGAACUGAGACACGGUCCAGACUCCUACGGGAGGCAGCAGUAGGGAAUCUUCCGCAAUGGGCGAAAGCCUGACGGAGCAACGCCGCGUGAGUGAUGAAGGUCUUCGGAUCGUAAAACUCUGUUAUUAGGGAAGAACAAAUGUGUAAGUAACUAUGCACGUCUUGACGGUACCUAAUCAGAAAGCCACGGCUAACUACGUG
rnacentral:rRNA from 1 species